UAAGACUUCUCUUCUCAGAA
rnacentral:tRNA from 1 species